rnacentral:rRNA from 1 species
UACAGAGGGGGCAAGCGUUGUUCGGAAUUACUGGGCGUAAAGGGCGCGUAGGCGGCCCGCUAAGUCGAACGUGAAAUCCCCGAGCUCAACUCGGGAACUGCGUCCGAUACUGGCGGGCUUGAAUCCGGGAGAGGGAUGCGGAAUUCCUGGUGUAGCGGUGAAAUGCGCAGAUAUCAGGAGGAACACCGGUGGCGAAGGCGGAUCUCUGGGCCAUUACUGACGCUGAGGAGCGAAAGCGUGGGGAGCGAACAGG